rnacentral:lncRNA from 1 species
ACAUAAAUAUUAACAUCCUUCAUUAAUGAGAAAAUAUGGCUAGAAUAUUUGGUUGAGUCAAACCAUGUUAUACUUCCAACAAUGAAGAACACAUACAACUAAUAAAUUAGAAAGGGAGAUUAUGCCUUUUGGGACCUUGAGGCCAUUUGGCCUUAUAAGGGCGUCAUGUAAUACCCUCCCAUCAUGUGCAGACCAUUUCCACCCAGUUAAGCAGUAUAUGAACUCCAUAUUAGAAUUACAAACACCAAUAAGAUUUAUCCCCAAGUAUUCCUUUACGCGUACGAUAUCGUUGUUGGAGCUCCUUUGGUACACAGACUGUAAUCAUUGUACCAUCGAGGGCACCU